CAGCCGCCACGGGAAUACGGAGGAUCCGAGCGUUAUCCGAAUUUAUUGGGUUUAAAGGGUGCGUAGGCGGCUUUUUAAGUCAGGGGUGAAAGACGGUAGCUUAACUAUCGCAGUGCCUUUGAUACUGAAGAGCUUGAAUGUACUUGAGGUAGGCGGAAUGUGACAAGUAGCGGUGAAAUGCAUAGAUAUGUCACAGAACACCAAUUGCGAAGGCAGCUUACUAAAGUAUGGUUGACGCUGAGGCACGAAAGCGUGGGGAUCAAACAGGAUUAGAGACCCCCGUAGUCCCUGUCUCUUAUAC
rnacentral:rRNA from 1 species